rnacentral:rRNA from 1 species
UACGUAGGGUGCGAGCGUUAAUCGGAAUUACUGGGCGUAAAGCGUGCGCAGGCGGUUCUCCAAGUCCGUUGUGAAAGCCCCGGGCUCAACCUGGGAAUGGCGGUGGAAACUAGGGGACUGGAAUCUGGCAGAGGGGGGUGGAAUGCCGCGUGUAGCAGUGAAAUGCGUAGAGAUGCGGCGGAACACCGAUGGCGAAGGCAGCCCCCUGGGCUGAGAUUGACGCUCAGGCACGAAAGCGUGGGGAGCAAACAGG